rnacentral:lncRNA from 1 species
CCCGCGCUAGUGCAUGUCUCUCUCUCUCUUUCAUUCUCUGCCCCAAAGCUGAGAGCUAUUGGCUUGCGCACCUUAAUUAUUUCACUCUCUCUCACACAGUUUGCCCGACCGCCGACACACAGACACCGCGCUCCAUCUGUCUGUAUUGUGAAGCAGAGAUGCAGUCGCUGUUCGCCGUCCUCGGCGACAGACUGGCCCUGUGUAAACGUUAUCAGUGCAGGGUAACCUGUUACUGGUGACAGUCUACGACGACAAAUGCUCGAGACCCUCGCGCAGCAUACCCGGGUCAGAUUGGGAGGAAGACGACCGGCGCAAUGAUGGGACAGUUUUCGGGGGUAUGCUACCGGAGUUUGGUCAUCCUCUUGUUUCUCGGUUUGCAGUUCCCGGCCACCGCGGCACGAGGUUGUCAUGCUCCCGCACCUCAGCCGGAUCAACAGGUUCCCGAGCCUUAGUAGAGGUGACCGGUCCACUCCUGAUCCCUGGGGUCGUCAUCUUGGUCGGCGUCCUGCGGCAGGAGCUGUGCGUCAGGGAGGGGGUACUGUCACGUGUGCUCCCUCUCCGGCUUCUAGGUCACCAGGCUGCUCGUUAUGGCGCACACCUGUCACCAGCGUUACGUGCAUAAUGAACCUCACCUGGACUCCAUCACCUCCUUGAUUACCUGCCCUUUAUAUGUCACUCCCUUUGGUUUCUUCCCCAGUCGUUGUUUUUUCUGUGUCAUGUUGGUGCGCUGUUCAUUUAUUCAUUAAAUGUAUUCACUCUCUGAACUUGCUUCCCGACUCUCAGCGUACCUCGUUAUAGUUAUUACCACUUAGCCUAACCAUAUAAUUUCAGGUUCCAUCACAAAACCACUGCUGUUAUAACAGGAAAAGUUAUGAUUUAUAGAUAAUAUAUUUUCUCUCUCCAGAUAUGUUUUAUGUAUGUGUGUUAUUUGUUUGACUACUGUUGCGUAUUUCCAUGUCUACCAAUCAUUUAAUAGAUAAAAGAAAAAAAGUUUGAAUUAAUAAAAUGUACAUUUUCAAAGUCAACUAUACUGUUAGCCAAGAUCAAAGUGUUUAUAAGUUCUAUAUAAAUCCUGUAUUUAAAUGGAAAAUGUUGUGUUCAG